rnacentral:rRNA from 1 species
UACGUAGGGGGCUAGCGUUGUCCGGAAUCAUUGGGCGUAAAGCGCGUGUAGGCGGUCCGGUAAGUCCGCUGUGAAAGUCGGGGGCUCAACCCUCGGAAGCCGGUGGAUACUGUCGGGCUCGAGUACGGAAGAGGCGAGUGGAAUUCCUGGUGUAGCGGUGAAAUGCGCAGAUAUCAGGAGGAACACCAAUGGCGAAGGCAGCUCGCUGGGACGUAACUGACGCUGAGACGCGAAAGCGUGGGGAGCAAACAGG